AUUGAACGCUGGCGGCAUGCCUUACACAUGCAAGUCGAACGGCAGCGGACCUUCGGGUGCCGGCGAGUGGCGAACGGGUGAGUAAAGUAUCGGAACAUGCCCUGAAGUGGGGGAUAACGUAGCGAAAGUUACGCUAAUACCGCAUAUUCUGUGAGCAGGAAAGCAGGGGAUCGCAAGACCUUGCGCUUUAGGAGUGGCCGAUAUCGGAUUAGCUAGUUGGUGAGGUAAAGGCUCACCAAGGCGACGAUCCGUAGCGGGUCUGAGAGGAUGAUCCGCCACACUGGGACUGAGACACGGCCCAGACUCCUACGGGAGGCAGCAGUGGGGAAUUUUGGACAAUGGGCGCAAGCCUGAUCCAGCCAUGCCGCGUGAGUGAAGAAGGCCUCGGUG
rnacentral:rRNA from 1 species